rnacentral:rRNA from 1 species
AUGUCUGAUGGGCAAAGGCUUGCCACCUUGGGAUCGGGAAACGCCCUAUCAGGUUGUUGGUGAGGUAACGGCUCACCAAGCCUAAGACGGGUAGCGGGUGUGAGAGCAUGACCCGCCGCAUCGGGACUGAGACACUGCCCGGACUCCUACGGGAGGCUGCAGCAACGAAUCUUCCGCAAUGCGCGAAAGCGUGACGGAGCAAUGCCGCGUGCAGGAUGAAGCCCCUCGGGGUGUAAACUGCUGUCAGGGCUUAGGAAUUUUGACCAAACCCAAAGGAAGGGCCGGCUAACUUCGUGCCAGCAGCCGCGGUAAUACGAAGGGCCCGAGCGUUAAUCAGAAUCACUGGGCUUAAAGCGUGCGCAGGCGGAAACGUCAGUGUCUUGUGAAAUCCCACGGCUCAACCGUGGAAUUGCAGGGCAUACUGCGUUUCUUGAGGUCGGUAGAGGUCGCCGGAACUCUAGGUGUAGCGGUGAAAUGCGUAGAUAUCUAGAGGAACGCCGAAGGUGAAGACAGGCGACUGGGCCGAUUCUGACGCUCAGGCACGAAAGCGUGGGGAGCAAACAGGAUUAGAUACCCUGGUAGUCCACGCCGUAAACGUUGUGCACUAGAUCCUGGAGGUACUGACACCGUCGGGGUCGAAGAUAACUUGCUAAGUGCACCGCCUGGGGAGUACGGUCGCAAGGCUAAAACUCAAAGGAAUUGACGGGGGCUCACACAAGCGGUGGAGCAUGUGGCUUAAUUCGAGGCAACGCGAAGAACCUUACCUGGGUUUGACAUGCUUGGAUUAGCCUGUCGAAAGACAGGUGACGCUAAUUCUAGUGGAACUUGCACAGGUGCUGCAUGGCUGUCGUCAGCUCGUGCUGUGAAGUGUCGGGUUAAGUCCCUUAACGAGCGAAACCCCUGCCGCUAGUUGCCAUCAGGUCAAGCUGAGCACUCUAGCGGGACUGCCGGUGUCAAACCGGAGGAAGGUGGGGAUGACGUCAAGUCCUCAUGGCCUUUAUGCCCAGGGAUGCACACGUGCUACAAUGGUAGGUACAACGCGACGCGAUGCCGCGAGGCGGAGCAAAUCGCAAAAAACCUGCCCCAGUUCGGAUCGCAGUCUGCAACUCGACUGCGUGAAGUUGGAA